ACAAAACCAAAAGGUUCCUUAACUCAGAUUUCAGUCCUGACUUCUUUGUCGUUGUUAAGUUUUUAUUGUUGUUUCGUUAUGCAGCUCUCACUGCACUGGGAUUCACUAUGUAGACCAGGGUGGCCUCAGACUCUCAGAAGUCUGUCUGCCUCCUAUGUAACAGAAGUAAAGGCGUGUACCAUCAAGCACACCCUGCUCCUUUAAAGAAAGAUUUGUAUUUGGUGUGUGUAUAUGUGUUGUUUUGCCGGCAUUUAUAUAUUAUGCAUUUAGUGCCUGCCCAGUGCCUGUGGAAGCCAGAAGAUGGAGUUGGAUCCCUGGGAACUGGUGUUACAGGGGGUUGUGAGCCACUGGGUGGAUGCUGAGAACUGACUCUGGGACCUCAGCAAACACAGCAAGUGGGACCUCAGCAAACACAGCAAGAGAGCCAUCUACUGAGCCAUCUUUCCAGACCCUUCCUUCUUUUUAUAUUUUUAAAAACGUGGAUCUCAGGUUUUUUCUAGUCGUUGUUGUGAAUUCUGUCAAAGUUCCAUAGAUGUGAUUCUUGUAGUGAUCAUAGAAAGAGUAUUGAAAGAUGUCGAGUAGUCACCGGCUGUUCUAAUUAGGCUGCCCUGCCUCUAUAAUAAAACACUGACCAAACCAACCUGGGGAGGAAAGGGGUUACCUAGAUUAAACUUCCAUGUUGCAAUCAUCAUUCAGGGAAGGCAGGUCAGGAAUUCAAGGCAAGAACUGAGACAGGCCAGGGAGGACACUGCUUGCUCGCUCGCUCUUGUGGUGUGCUCAGGAUCACCGGCCCAGGAGUAGCGUUGCCCAUAAUGCACUUGGGACCUUUUGAAUCAAUCAUUAAUCA
rnacentral:lncRNA from 1 species